UACGGAGGGUGCAAGCGUUAUCCGGAUUUACUGGGCUUAAAGGGUGUGUAGGCGGACUUUUAAGUCAGCGGUGAAAUCUCCGGGCUCAACCCGGAAACUGCCAUUGAUACUAUUGGUCUUGAAUGUUGUUGAGGUGGGCGGAACGGGUCAUGUAGCGGUGAAAUGCAUAGAUAUGACCCGGAACACCGAUUGCGUAGGCAGCCCACUAAGCAACGAUUGACGCUGAGGCACGAAAGCGUGGGGAUCAAACAGG
rnacentral:rRNA from 1 species